GGCUUCGCUGGAACAUCUCCGUGACCUUCGUUGAGACAGCGUGCCUCAGAAUUGUUUACAGACAAUCAGCGGCGUCAAUACGACUACACCAA